rnacentral:lncRNA from 1 species
UUCCAUCCAGGAUAGUCCUGGAAAUGAUCUUGAUGCUAUCUGUUCCUCGUUACAGCAGACCUGCUCAACUUCAGCAGCUAGAAGGAGGAUUGUCUUUCACCAGCUGCAGGAGCCUGUUCCCACUACAAGCCUGGUGGAGUCUUCGGAGCAGAUGUGACUGUCCUACUUGUAUAGAGAAGAGAAACUGAGGCUCAGAAGAGAUGCCUGGCUGAGUUUAAUAGGACUGCAACAACAAUUUUGCCUUUCUACUUUCUGGUACAGUGGUCUUUCCUUUGCCAUCAUGCCUCAGCAUAUCCAUACCGUUUGCAAAGAAAUUUCCUAAACAUCACCACUGAGGCUCCUUCCAGCAAUGACUCUGGUCCAUCAUUGGGAUUGCUGAGCAGCUGUUUCAUAACAUGAACAAGGAUGUUUUAACCAUGUUUCUUGACCUGGCCAUUUGGAUCCCAAGGAUGUUUUGGUCCAAGAAUAAAUUCCAGAGCUUAGCUCACCGAAGAAGACAGGAAAACUUGUCAGAUGGGGAAGGAUGUGUCAAGAGCAUGCACACAGAUUUACUCUUCAGCU